AGGAGACUAGACCAGGCCAGGCGCAGUGUUUUAAAUAAUAACAGCAAGCCGGGUGCAGUGACUCACACCUGUGGUCCCAACACUUUGGGAGGCUGAGGUAGGAGGAUUGCUUGAGCCCAGGAGUUUGAGACCAGCCCUGGCAACAUAGUGAGAAUCCAUCUCUACCAAAAAAAAAAUACAAAAAAUUGGCCUGGCAUGGUGGCAUGCACCUCCUGUAGUCCCAGUUCCUUGAGAGGCUGAGGCAGGAGGAUUGCUUGAGCCUGGAAGGUUGAGGCUGCAAUGAGCCAUGGUUGUGUCACUGCACUCUAGCCUGGGUGAUAGAGCAAGACCCUGUCUCAAAUAAACAAAACCAGUAACGGCAAUGACUUCCAUCCUGCAGCGCCUGCUGUGUACCUGGCACCACCCCAGGACGCCGAUGUGUAUUAUAUAAGCCACUGCCUGGACUGCUGAGAUGGCUCCCCGAGGGUCUCUAUGCUUCCUGCUCAUCCCCUCACCCACUCAAGUUUCACACAGUAAAGGUCAUAUCCCUCCCCUACCCAAGGCCCUCUACUAGCCCUUACCGCACCUAAAAUGAAGUUCAAAGUCCUUCCAUGGCCCACAGGGCCCACCAGAUCUGGUCCCACUCCACUUCUCCCACCUCAUCUCCUUUUUUUUUUUCUUUUUUUUUUUUUUUUGAGGCAGAGUCUUGCUCUGUUGCCCACGCUGGAGCUAGAGUGCAGUAAUGCACGAUCUCUGCUCACUGCAACCUCUGCCUCCUGGGUUCAAGC
rnacentral:lncRNA from 10 species